CCUACGGGAGGCAGCAGUGAGGAAUAUUGGUCAAUGGACGAGAGUCUGAACCAGCCAAGUAGCGUGAAGGAUGACUGCCCUAUGGGUUGUAAACUUCUUUUAUAUGGGAAUAAAAUGUUCCACGUGUGGGAGUUUGUAUGUACCAUAUGAAUAAGGAUCGGCUAACUCCGUGCCAGCAGCCGCGGUAAUACGGAGGAUCCGAUCGUUAUCCGGAUUUAUUGGGUUUAAAGGGAGCGUAGGUUGAUUGUUAAGUCAGUUGUGAAAGUUUGCGGCUCAACCGUGAAAUUGCAGUUGAAACUGGCAGUCUUGAGUACAGUAGAGGUGGGCGGAAUUCGUGGUGUAGCGGUGAAAUGCUUAGAUAUCACGAAGAACUCCGAUUGCGAAGGCAGCUCACUGGACUGCAACUGACACUGAGGCUCGAAAGUGUGGGUAUCAAACAGGAUUAGAUACCCUUGUAGUC
rnacentral:rRNA from 1 species